ACUUCAUAGUUAAAGCACCAUAGUGUGUUAUUAUUGUGUUAUUGUGUGUUGUUUUAUGUUGUUUCAUGCUUGGGCAAUAUUGUAAGUAUUCGCCAGCAGAAAUGAACUGAGCAGAGUUUAUGAUGUCACACACAUGAAUAGAUGCUCCGGUCAGUCUGCUCUUAUCAGGUGAGGCGUGACGUGUGAUUGGUCGUGGUGAUCAGGUGACCGAACAACAACCUCUCCAGAGGAAUAGUUCAGGACACGGCCCUCCUGCAUUUAAUGUCUGAUUCCCAAAGAUAUCAACUUCCAUCUGUACCCGCGCUCCGGAUGAAAUACACUCAGCUUCUUCCAGAUUCUGGAAACCUAAUCUCCAUGGGGACGAGUGGAGAGCGAGAGAGAGCUGUGAUGGCCGUUGAGUUGGAGACAAGGAGCGUCUUUGUGUUAGAGAAUGAAAGAUGAAUGUUCUCUAGACGUCUG